rnacentral:rRNA from 1 species
CUUCGGGUUGUAAAGUACUUUCAGUAGGGAGGAAGGUGGUUAAGUUAAUACCUUAAUCAUUUGACGUUACCUACAGAAGAAGCACCGGCUAACUCCGUGCCAGCAGCCGCGGUAAUACGGAGGCUGCAAGCGUUAAUCGGAAUUACUGGGCGUAAAGCGCAUGCAGGUGGUUUGUUAAGUCAGAUGUCCCCCCCACUGGGCUCAACCUAGGAAUCGCAUUUGAAACUGACAAGCUAGAGUACUGUAGAGGGGGGUAGAAUUUCAGGUGUAGCGGUGAAAUGCGUAGAGAUCUGAAGGAAUACCGGUGGCGAAGGCGGCCCCCUGGACAGAUACUGACACUCAGAUGCGAAAGCGUGGGGAGCAAACAGGAUUAGAUACCCUGGUAGUCCACGCCGUAAACGAUGUCUACUUGGAGGUUGUGCCCUAGAGGCGUGGCUUUCGGAGCUAACGCGUUAAGUAGACCGCCUGGGGAGUACGGUCGCAAGAUUAAAACUCAAAUGAAUUGACGGGGGCCCGC